GAGAGAGGACGGACCGGACCCAUGUGUGGGGCAUUUUAAUUAGGUUUGGGGAUUGCUGCAAAGAUAUAGCACAGCCGCCACACACUUUGAGAACAUUGUUACAUUUGUAGAAGAGAAAAAAAAAGCACUUGGUAAUGAGAGAAAUGGAGGGUGAUGUGAAAUAGUAAAUUGUGUUGCUUUGCUGCAACCAGCUGCCACCAAGAAAAGAAGAAGUGUGGAGCUGAAUUUAUUUUGAAGCGGUGAUAUUUAUGUUGGAAGCAACUGCGUGAAUUUCUUUGCUUUGGAAGAAUACUCAUUGUUCAAUUUUGUUGGAGCGUUGCACACAGUUUUUUUUUUUUGUUUUAUUAUAUUCACACCAGAACCGAGAAACAUUAUUCCCUGUUACACAUUUCUUUUUCUUUCAGUACCUUGCCG
rnacentral:lncRNA from 1 species